rnacentral:lncRNA from 1 species
GUUGUGGUUGCAGGUGACAGGUGGAGACAAGGUACAUGCGACGACGUGUGAAGAACGAAGAUAGGAUGCCGCGUUGAAAAACCGCGGGGGCGGAGAAGAGUGGAUCGAGGCUUGCGUUCGAGGGACAGGCGAUCGUACGGUGUACGUCUACUGUACCUGGCUACACGGCGGGAGGACGUCGAGGGAGGUUUCCGGAUUAUGCCACAAAAUCCGGGGUUCGCUGGUUGAGCCACAAAGCCAUGCAUCGUACCGGGACGCCCGUGCGGCAGGCGUUGGCCGAAGAUGGAAAUUCCGACGAUCGCGAUACGAUUUCGGAUGGUCGUGCGGCGACAUCGCG